rnacentral:rRNA from 1 species
UGGGGAAUAUUGCACAAUGGGCGCAAGCCUGAUGCAGCCAUGCCGCGUGUAUGAAGAAGGCCUUCGGGUUGUAAAGUACUUUCAGUCGGGAGGAAGGUGGUAAGGUUAAUAACCUUAUCAAUUGACGUUACCGACAGAAGAAGCACCGGCUAACUCCGUGCCAGCAGCCGCGGUAAUACGGAGGGUGCAAGCGUUAAUCGGAAUUACUGGGCGUAAAGCGCACGCAGGCGGUUGAUUGAGUCAGAUGUGAAAUCCCCGGGCUUAACCCGGGAAUUGCAUCUGAUACUGGUCAGCUAGAGUCUUUUAGAGGGGGGUAGAAUUCCAUGUGUAGCGGUGAAAUGCGUAGAGAUGUGGAGGAAUACCGGUGGCGAAGGCGGCCCCCUGGACAAAGACUGACGCUCAGGUGCGAAAGCGUGGGGAGCAAACAGG